rnacentral:rRNA from 1 species
AGAACGAACGCUGGCGGCAGGCUUAACACAUGCAAGUCGAACGCCCCGCAAGGGGAGUGGCAGACGGGUGAGUAACACGUGGGAACGUCCCCCUCGGUUCGGAAUAACUCAGGGAAACUUGAGCUAAUACCGGAUACGUCCGAGAGGAGAAAGAUUUAUCGCCGAGGGAUCGGCCCGCGUCUGAUUAGCUAGUUGGUGAGGUAACGGCUCACCAAGGCGACGAUCAGUAGCUGGUCUGAGAGGAUGACCAGCCACACUGGGACUGAGACACGGCCCAGACUCCUACGGGAGGCAGCAGUGGGGAAUCUUGGACAAUGGGCGCAAGCCUGAUCCAGCCAUGCCGCGUGAGUGAUGAAGGCCUUAGGGUUGUAAAGCUCUUUCGACGGGGACGAUAAUGACGGUACCCGUAGAAGAAGCCCCGGCUAACUUCGUGCCAGCAGCCGC